GCUUGUGUGGUGUAGUACGGCCCAUCAUAGUGGGUUUUCAUCCCGCCGACCCGGGUUCGAAUCCCGGCACGAGCA
rnacentral:tRNA from 2 species